rnacentral:rRNA from 1 species
CCUACGGGUGGCUGCAGUGAGGAAUAUUGGUCAAUGGCCGAGAGGCUGAACCAGCCAAGUCGCGUGAGGGAAGACGGCCCUACGGGUUGUAAACCUCUUUUGUCGGGGAGCAAAGCGACCCACGUGUGGUUCAUUGAGAGUACCCGAAGAAAAAGCAUCGGCUAACUCCGUGCCAGCAGCCGCGGUAAUACGGAGGAUGCGAGCGUUAUCCGGAUUUAUUGGGUUUAAAGGGUGCGCAGGCGGAGGUGCAAGUCAGCGGUCAAAUUGCGGGGCUCAACCCCGUACUGCCGUUGAAACUGCAUCCCUUGAGUGCGCGAGAAGUAUGCGGAAUGCGUGGUGUAGCGGUGAAAUGCAUAGAUAUCACGCAGAACUCCGAUUGCGAAGGCAGCCUGCCGGGGUGCGACUGACGCUGAGGCUCGAAGGUGCGGGUAUCAAACAGGAUUAGAUACCCGAGUAGUC